rnacentral:lncRNA from 1 species
AACAGUCACAGCUCCAAGAAGAUGAAAGAAGGAGCAAUGUCAUGGAGUCAAGGAAGGGAGAUUUGAGGCAUGGUCUUGAAGACAGAGCAAUUGGGAGGUAGGAACAGCUUGCCAGAAAGCAUUGUUAAAGUCUCAGUGCAGAGAUUCAGGAGCCAAUUAGUGGUGUACCAGGAUCAAUAACAUGAGGCAUUCCACAGAACAGGAUAUUUAGGGCAGCUUUGGUCCCUGUGAACCUUCUGCAUCUCCUACACCCACCCCAUUUUUCCCCUAUGAAGUCACUGUGGUUGGGACUUUUAUCUGGUGAGCCUUCUCCUCGGUUCCCAGCCUAUUCUCUGGGAACCUAAGGGGAUGUAGUCAGCCCCAUCCUGAGCCAGCUGCAUAUUGGUUCCACAUCUGCUGAGCCAGGGUAGUGACUGAGCCCUGUGGUCCUUAGAACUAAUCAGACUGAACAGCAUUUUAAUGACGGUUACUUUCCUUUAAAAAAAACAAAAGGGUGGUGCUGGGCAAGGAAGCUUAGGUCUGCACUGCUUCCCCGGCCCUUCCUGAUGACAGUGGAGACAUUUGGGCAUUUCAAGAAGAGUUCCAGCUACUCAUGAUACAUGUUGAAGGAAGACUCCAAAAUAGGAAUAAGUCCAUCCCCAAACAGGGCUUCUCAGCCCUGGUCAUCCAUAUGCAGUUCCUCUACUUCAUAACCUCAGAGACUUCACAAUUGGGACACAGCCUGGCUGGGUGCAUCCUGCUGGAGGUGCUAGGUCUUCAUUUUAAGUUCCCUGUUGGUUGACUUGGGGGGAAAUAUUUUCUUUUCCUGUCUGCUGCUUUGUAAUGAUGAGUCAUGAUCUUUGGGGAAAGGGACUGUCACAGCAAUGAGCACCACAAGAGAACAAGCACUGGGGAGACGGAAAGGAACAUGGAAUCUCUCCUCACCAGGGCCCAGCUCAAGAGAAGGCCAUCUAUGGGGUGCUGGGGCAGGAGAGGGCCAGCUGCUUCCCCUUGUCUGACCCACAGUAGCUACACAGGGAGGUGA